GGACGAACGCUGGCGGCAUGCCUAACACAUGCAAGUCGAACGGGGGUAGCAAUACCCUAGUGGCGAACGGGUGAGUAACACAUAAGCAAUCUGCCCUUCGACAGGGGGAUAACAGCGGGAAACUGCUGCUAAUACCGCAUAAGACCACGGUACCGCAUGGUACAGGGGUAAAAACGAAUCAGUGGUGAAGGAUGAGCUUAUGUCCCAUUAGCUAGUUGGUGAGAUAACAGCCCCACCAAGGCGACGAUGGGUAGCCGACCUGAGAGGGUGAUCGGCCACACUGGAACUGAGACACGGUCCAGACUCCUACGGGAGGCAGCAGUGGGGAAUAUUGGGCAAUGGAGGAAACUUCCUUACCCAGCAAUGCCGCGUGAGUGAAGAAGGUCUUCGGAUUGUAAAGCUCUUUGAUUGGGGACGAAGAAAGUGACGGUACCCAAAGAACAAGCCCCGGCUAACUACGUGCCAGCAGCUGC
rnacentral:rRNA from 1 species